GGAGAGGUGAGGGAAGGAGAGGAGAGGAGGGGGGAGGAGAGGAGAGGAGAGGAGAGGAGAGUGGUAGAACCACCAACUGUUAUUGAACCAGCACCAUAUAAACUUUUUGCUGCAGAACCUGUAAUAUGAAGACCAUGAGACUAGCUGAGGAAACACACACACACACACACACACACACACACACACACUGCUCUGUCAGCGGAUUUCUUCAAUCUCUUCCCAUUUGUAGCCCUGAUGGAAUUUGGGAUGGGUACCAGCAGCAAACGAAGCUAUUGGCUCAGUAGAAACUGGAAACGUCUGUGAGACUGUCAAUAUAUUGAAUCCUGGGGUAGUUGAGGACUGAAGCAUCACCUAUGGCUGGCCUGUGUUAUGGGACAACAACAUAUUGAAUCCUGGGGUAGUUGAGGACUGAAGCAUCACCUAUGGCUAGCCUGUGUUAUGGGACAACAACAUAUUGAAUCCUGGGGUAGUUGAGGACUGAAGCAUCACCUAUGGCUGGCCUGUGUUCUGGGACAACAACAUAUUGAAUCCUGGGGUAGUUGAGG
ensembl:lncRNA